UUCAGGGAUUUACUCCCUGUUCAGGACACUGUUCCCCCCAAGAUGCUUAAGAGGUUUCAUAGUAAGGGGGAGAUAUUUUCCAGCAAAUACUUGUAUAAACAAAAUUUCCUGAUUUAAAGGAGUAAUCUGUCAUGUUGUUUGUUUUCUGACCUCACCAGGUGCUGAUAAAUCCAAUCUAGCAACCAGAACAGCCAGUGCUUUGUGCUCGGCUGAAGAUGGAUGUGUCAAUUACAGGUAAAGUGUUUCUCUGAUACGAAGUAGGAUGUUCCAGAGGAAUGGGCAGGCCUUUGCACAGGACCGGGGCAGUGGGGCCAGGACAGGGAAAGCCACGGCCUGAGAGCAAUGACUUCUCUGGAACUUGACAAUGGAGGCUCAGCCCCAUGCCUAAGAGCCAAAGCCCUCCAGCACCCUGCCCGGGACUUUUCCUGCCCUGUGCUCCAGCUAUGGGAUAAGGAGGGACCACCGCCAUGUCUGGGCUGCCAGUACAGCUUCCUGAUGACUGCAAAUUAAGUUCAAGCUCCACUGUUUUUAGAGAAGCACGGGAACAGCUGAGGUGUAUGAACUGUGGGAAAAGUCCCAGCUAUGGAAGCGAUCAGCCUGAGCAUCCUACGUGUCAGUGCUGCCUCCUGGAUUGCUGGUGGUAGGUGGACGAUUGGACUAGAUGAUCUUAGAGGUCUUUUCCAACCGUAAUGAUUCUAUGACAGUCUGAUGUGUCCUCCCUUCCCCAGAACCGUUCAGAACUGGGUGUUUGACUUCCCGUCAGGAAACACAAGUAUUUACCCUCCCUGACAAAAGGCUCCUCUAGCAGCUGACCCUUUGCCAGGCUGGUUUUGAGUACCGAGCCAGGAGUGCAAUUACUUUAACAGCCGCUGUAACAUCCCAGAGCAGCUACUGAAAAAAGAGACCAAGGGCUGAGCCACGCUCCUCCCUCAGAGCUCUUGCACGCAUGCUUCCAGCCUAGCAUUAGCUGUCAUCCUCUUCUGCAGUCCAUUAGAGCCUUAUGUUUCCAGGCAAGACACAAAGCUCGAAUCUGAGGACAUGCUUUAGAGGAACUAGUGAUAUGAGCAUCCUUCCACACCUGUCUGCCUGGAUCACGAAGUGAAGCAGAUGAGCUCUGUUUCCAGG